rnacentral:rRNA from 1 species
GAUGAACGCUGGCGGCGUGCCUAAUACAUGCAAGUCGAGCGAACAGACGAGGAGCUUGCUCCUCUGACGUUAGCGGCGGACGGGUGAGUAACACGUGGAUAACCUACCUAUAAGACUGGGAUAACUUCGGGAAACCGGAGCUAAUACCGGAUAAUAUAUUGAACCGCAUGGUUCAAUAGUGAAAGACGGUUUUGCUGUCACUUAUAGAUGGAUCCGCGCCGCAUUAGCUAGUUGGUAAGGUAACGGCUUACCAAGGCAACGAUGCGUAGCCGACCUGAGAGGGUGGUCGGCCACACUCGAAGUGGCACACGGUGCUGACAACUAGGGGGAGCAGCAGUAGGGUAUCUUCCGCAAAGGGGGAAAACUUGACAGAACAACGCCACAUGAGAAGCGGAGGUCUUUGGAUCGGAAAACGCUCUGAUUAAGAAAGAACAGAUGUGUAAGGAACUAUACGCUUCUUGAGGGUAACUUGUCAAAGGACCGCGGCUAACUACGUG